AGCUUUGCGCAGUGGCAGUAUCGUAGCCAAUGAGGUUUAUCCGAGGCGCGAUUAUUACUAACAGAUAAAACCAAGAGAUUUCCAACAUUGUGAACAGAUCAGAAUUUCUGGUGACAGGCCCAGCAGUCAGAAAGGCUUCCCCUG
ensembl:snRNA U4 U4 spliceosomal RNA